rnacentral:lncRNA from 10 species
CAAAUUUCUACAAGCUCUCUCAAUGUGCCUACCACAAUGAGCAAUAACUCAGGUGAAGAUCUUUCAGUCCUCUUUUUCCUGACAAAGUCUUUGGAUCUAAAACCUGAAUAUAUCUCCAAACAUAUUAUCUAUAGCAUAUUAUUUAAUAGAUUCCCUUGCCCCUUUCAAGUUUUACAAUUAACUAAUACUUCCUCAUUAGAGAUGCUUUUUGUGUUCUUGUAAUUCUCAAGUGAUAUUUGGCAAAGAGUGGCUUCAAGAGCAGUUGACUUUCUCUUAUUCAAAAAAUACAUGUCUGAAUGUUUUUCUAACACCACAUUAAGGUUAAUUCCCUGAAUAGCUUCAAAGAAACAUUACUGGUGUUGGUCACUAGGAGCCUGCAAAAUACCGAUGUCUGUUUGGAGAAAGAACUAGGUUGUAAUAUUUCUACAGUCUGAAUAGCCCUUUUCUGAAAUGCCUGGGAUGAGAAGUGUUUCAGAUUUUAAAUUUUUUUGGAACUUGUAAUAUUUGCAUAUACAUAAUGAGAUAUCUUGGG